UUUCUUACUAAUAGUGAAAUUGGAAUCUAUACACAAGUGCUACUUGAAUUCGUCCGUGUAAAUAAUGGAUAUAGAUGGUGCAGGACAAGGAUUCUGGUCUCCUAGUAAGCAAGACUUCAUCGGUGUGCAAGGUGGCUGCACAAGCCAAACAGAUUCUACAGCUGAAGGAUGAUUGACAACUGCUGUAGAAAAUGAUUUUACAGUCAUAAAACAUCUUUUUAUCAGAUGACUAUUUGUCAGAUGAUGAGCUCCUACGAGACCUGGACUAGACACCACCCGCAAGCAUUAAACAGGUUUUCACAGCUUCUUUAUGAUGAUUUGUUGCUGAAAUUCCUCUUCAGCAAUGCUGGGAUAGCCACGGCCACAUACUAAAAUACUAUCUGGAUCCCUGGCCUAACACAAGUGUCUCCAGUUAAUACCGCCUCAAUCUGCAGCAAUUCCUCAGCCAUAUCCAUCCCAUGGCAAGGGGAAUGCUCUUCCUACCACGUGUUCUGCGGCUGUAUAGAAGUGGAUAAACU
rnacentral:lncRNA from 1 species